AGCCACAGCUAUAUCAACCUGCAGUCCAAGACCUGCUUGGCUUCAGUGAGUAACUGCACUGAGCCUGGUCAUUACCUGGAUGGGAGACCACAUGGGGAAACUAGGUUGCUGUUGGAA
rnacentral:rRNA from 1 species